AUUGAACGCUGGCGGCAGGCCUAACACAUGCAAGUCGAGCGGAUGAAGGGAGCUUACUCCUGGAUUCAGCGGCGGACGGGUGAGUAAUGCCUAGGAAUCUGCCUGGUAGUGGGGGAUAACGUCCGGAAACGGGCGCUAAUACCGCAUACGUCCUGAGGGAGAAAGUGGGGGAUCUUCGGACCUCACGCUAUCAGCUGAGCCUCGGUCGGCUUAGCUAGUUGGUGGGGUAACGGCCUACCAAGGCGACGAUCCGUAACUGGUCUGAGAGGAUGACCAGUCACACUAGAACUGAGACACGGUCCAGACUCCUACGGGAGGCAGCAGUGGGGAAUAUUGGACAAUGGGCGAAAGCCUGAUCCAGCCAUGCCGCGUGUGUGAAGAAGGUCUUCGGAUUGUAAAGCACUUUAAGUUGGGAGGAAGGGCAGUAAGUUAAUACCUUGCUGUUCUGACGUUACCAACAGAAUAAGCACCGGCUAACUUCGUG
rnacentral:rRNA from 1 species